rnacentral:rRNA from 1 species
GCACAAGCGGUGGAGCAUGUGGUUUAAUUCGAAGUAACGCGCAGAACCUUACCAUCCCUUGACAUGGCAUGUUACCUCGAGAGAUCGGGGAUCCUCUUCGGAGGCGUGCACACAGGUGCUGCAUGGCUGUCGUCAGCUCGUGUCGUGAGAUGUUGGGUUAAGUCCCGCAACGAGCGCAACCCACGUCCUUAGUUGCCAUCAUUCAGUUGGGCACUCUAGGGAGACUGCCGGUGAUAAGCCGCGAGGAAGGUGUGGAUGACGUCAAGUCCUCAUGGCCCUUACGGGAUGGGCUACACACGUGCUACAAUGGCGGUGACAGUGGGACGCGAAGCCGCGAGGUGGAGCAAAUCCCCAAAAACCGUCUCAGUUCGGAUUGCACUCUGCAACUCGGGUGCAUGAAGGCGGAAUCGCUAGUAAUCGUGGAUCAGCACGCCACGGUGAAUACGUUCCCGGGC